rnacentral:misc_RNA from 1 species
CAACCCUCAGGCCCACCCUUCCGGGGGAGCGGGCCUGGUUCUGGGGAUCGGCGGCCCUCCGGGGCCCCCGUCCCUCAAACUCAGUGGCGGUCGCGCCGCAGCCUCCCCUGCGUAGUAGCACAACCUCGCACCGGAGAGCGGAACGACCACGCCGUGAAACCCCCCAUUUCUCAA